rnacentral:rRNA from 1 species
CCUACGGGUGGCAGCAGUGGGGAAUAUUGCGCAAUGGGCGAAAGCCUGACGCAGCGACGCCGCGUGAGGGAUGAAGGUCUUCGGAUCGUAAACCUCUGUCAGCAGGGAAGAACGGUCACUGUGCUAAUCAGCAGUGAAUUGACGGUACCUGCACAGGAAGCACCGGCUAACUCCGUGCCAGCAGCCGCGGUAAUACGGAGGGUGCGAGCGUUAAUCGGAAUUACUGGGCGUAAAGCGCUCGUAGGCGGUUUGUCAAGUCAAGUGUGAAAUCCCCGCGCUCAACGUGGGAACUGCCUUGGAAACUGGCAAACUGGAGUGUGGUAGAGGAGAGUGGAAUUCCAGGUGGAGGGGUGAAAUGCGUAGAUAUCUGGAGGAACAUCAGUGGCGAAGGCGACUAUCUGGCACAUAACUGACGCUGAGGAGCGAAAGCGUGGGUAGCAAACAGGAUUAGAUACCCGAGUAGUC